CUGGGGAAUGAGGAUCUUUUGGCUCUUACGAGGAUCCCUAGUAAGCGCAAGUCAUCAGCUUGCGUUGAUUACGUCCCUGCACUUUGUACACACCGCCCGUCGCUACUACCGAUUGAAUGGCUCAGUGAGGCUUCCGGACUGGCCCAGGGAGGUCGGCAACGACCACCCAGGGCCGGAAAGUUAUCCAAACUCGGUCAUUUAGAGGAAGUAAAAGUCGUAACAAGGUCUCCGUUGGUGAACCAGCGGAGGGAUCAUUAUAGAGUUUUCUAAACUCCCAACCCAUGUGAACUUACCUUUUGUUGCCUCGGCAGAAGUUAUAGGUCUUCUUAUAGCUGCUGCCGGUGGACCAUUAAACUCUUGUUAUUUUAUGUAAUCUGAGCGUCUUAUUUUAAUAAGUCAAAACUUUCAACAACGGAUCUCUUGGUUCUGGCAUCGAUGAAGAACGCAGCGAAAUGCGAUAAGUAAUGUGAAUUGCAGAAUUCAGUGAAUCAUCGAAUCUUUGAACGCACAUUGCGCCCAUUAGUAUUCUAGUGGGCAUGCCUGUUCGAGCGUCAUUUCAACCCUUAAGCCUAGCUUAGUGUUGGGAAUCUACUUCUCUUAGGAGUUGUAGUUCCUGAAAUACAACGGCGGAUUUGUAGUAUCCUCUGAGCGUAGUAAUUUUUUUCUCGCUUUUGUUAGGUGCUAUAACUCCCAGCCGCUAAACCCCCAAUUUUUUUGUGGUUGACCUCGGAUCAGGUAGGAAUACCCGCUGAACUUAAGCAUAUCAAUAAGCGGAGGAAAAGAAACCAACAGGGAUUGCCUUAGUAACGGCGAGUGAAGCGGCACAGCUCAAAUUUGAAAUCUGGCCUUGGGUCCGAUUGUAAUUUGUAGAGGAUGAUUUUGGUGCGUAUCUUCCGAGUCCUUGGAACAGGACGCCUUAGAGGGUGAGAGCCCCGUACGGUUGAUGCCUAGCUCUGUAUAUCUCCUUCACAAGUCAAGUAGUUAGGAAUGCUGCUCAAAUGGAGGUAAUUUCUCUAAGCUAAUAAUGGUCAGAAAACGAUAGCGACAAGUAGAGGGAUCGAAAGAUGAAAGCACUUUCAAAAGAGGGGUCAAAUGCCGGAAAUGGUAAAAGGGAAGAAUUUGACUGAACUUUUUCUGGGCGAUCUAUCCGGUUUCUCUCCGGGUGACUUCCUCAG
rnacentral:ncRNA from 2 species